rnacentral:lncRNA from 1 species
AAGGAGAGAGGAACAGAAAUGCUUUACAGAAAUUUCAGUUAUAUCCUUGCAGAAUGUUCUUGGUGAAUGACCCUUGCCUGGCUGUGCCAGUACCUCUGGCCAGGUGAAGAAGACUUCCUUUCAAAGCUGCAAGUUCCUGGGAUACCUUGGUGAUUCAGCAGAGCUUUUACCACUGAGGCUGCCAUGCUGUCAGCAAGAACAAAUCCAGUCAAGAUUUGGAAGAGCUCUUUCAUCAGAUCAAAAUAUUUAUAAUGUCAAUGCUAAUCAGGUAGAAUUUCUGUGCAAUAUAUUUUUUUUUUCAUUUAUGAAUACGCUAUUUUUGGAGCAAGUGUUUGUACAAUGCUUUGGAAUUCCAUUGCUUUUAAAAAGUAUAACAUGACUUUGCAAAAAAUAGUGUGACUUUUUUUUUUUUUUUGUAAUAAUUUUUGGGAAAAAAAAAAAAAGAUUAUACAGACACAGUUCCACAAAAGGACUUUAAAACAAAACAGGCAGAAUAGAGAUUGCAGCAACCUGACCUACAACAAAAUCCCUCACCAAAUGUAUUAGUGCUUAUUUCCACAGAUACUCAAUAUUCCUGCACAUGGCCAUAGACAUACCAGUAUGGUAAGGCUAUGAAGGAAGGAUCAACCUUGUCUUCUGGCUGAGGAAAUGCAGAGAUAUCUGCCAUUCUUCUUGAUGACAACUUUCUCUCUUUUGAGAGGGUGUCGCAUUCAACUCCUAAACUGGAAGAUAU